rnacentral:lncRNA from 1 species
GCGGGCGCCCUCCCUAGCUGGCCCCUGGCCGCCAGCCGCCGCACGUGCAGGUGAGAUGGCGAGCGGGGAGCUUGCGGAUACGAGAAGCCAGUUAAUGUAUCCUUUGUAAGUGAUAGUGUAUGAUUUGUUUGUAAACGAUUCAUUUGUGAUUGUGCUGUGUUGUGAAUCAAAUCGAACUCAUGUGUUGUGAAUCAGAAUCACGUGCGAAUUGAUUUGUUAACAUAUCUCUUGCUUCAAUUUAUAAAGUGUUAAUUAUUUUGAUUGUUUGUAUGGUGGAGUUGGAGCUCGGUGGUACGAGGCAAAGAUCUCGAAGAUGACGCCCCUGCCCCCCGUCCACACAAGCCUGUAAAAGGUCAACGGGAGGGCCAGCUGCUUAGAGUGGUGUCUCCCGUAAGUGCGACGAGCGGCCAGUGGCCAGUGGGGAUGCAGGCCGGCCGAUGGCAUUGGCAUGGUUGGCGAUGACCUUCUUGCUUCGUGGAGAAAAAACAGGGAGAUGAGAUUUCCACAGGAGACAAGAUUAUUAGAGAGAGGCGUGAUAGAGAUGAGUUACCAAACAAAUAUUGUAGGAACGAUUUGUUUUUUCCAGACUCAAGACAAACUGUCAUCCUCCACAACUUCUGUUGGUGAUUUUCUUUGAAGGAAAAUGUAGCUUUGUGGCAUUCUAAUUCAGUGGCAACUCCUCGUUGAAGUUUUGAUGUCCUUUUGCUGGCCUGCUGAAUGUUUGAUUGUUAUUGAUUACUUUAUCUUUGAAGAAGGCAAAACGAGGGAGUAACUGCUUGGUGGAAAGGAG